GGGGGUUGAAAUGGUAGCUGCUUAAGGCCUGUGGACCUUUGGCAGGGCUGUAAAAAUACAAAUAAUAAUAAAAGGAGAGAGACAUUGUGACCCAGGCAGCAGUGGUAUGCCUGUGCAUGCAAGUCCAUCCGGGGUCUGACUAACUGUCUCACAAUGUCCACAUGGAACUUGUAAAGAUUUGCAAUAAUCCUUUAUUGAAACAAAACAGAGAACUUUACAGAUAGAAAUGGCUCAUACAGCAGGACCUUGGGAGGGGAGACAAGCCAAUGCAUAACUCUAUAUGGAGUAUAAAACUCAGUGAAUCCAACAAGCGUGAGCUCUUCUGGAGAUGCCUGCUGUUAAAUUAAGCAGCCUUCCAGAUGGAGCAGGAGAUCUUAACCAGUGCUGUGGCCACGCUCUCUCAUGCAAGGACCCCGUGUAGCCCUCCUUUCUAGUUUUCCUCUACAGGGACAAAGAAGUUACUGUAACACAUUGAUCAGAAGCUAGAUUCGUAUGGAGAGAAGCAUCUUGUGAACUACAGCCCAUAUUCAUAAUUUUAAGAGCAAUCUCACUGCUGCUGCCUUGUGCUGCUCCUGCAGGAUUACCAUAUCGCAUCAGCUGCUAUUGCACACCAGUGAGUUACAGCUCUUUGGCGCACUGACCUUAACUUCAGGACGUUUACAGAAGCAAGUCUGGAUUGUCAAACUCUACAAGAGGCAUUACUGGUAUAAUCUACACUGUAACUGGUAUUCAGCAUUUUAUUUGAGUGUAGAAUGAUGUAUUUUGAUCACUUGAAACGAAAUCAUUUUUGCAAUUCAGUGGUUGAACUGUUAAAACAAUGUUUCUAUUAGCACAGAGAAAAGCCAUCUCUUCCUUACAAUACAGACUUAAGAAAAUCUUAAAAGAACACUUAAAAACGUGUUCUUUAGAUUUUGCAGACCGACCCUAAAACUUUCCAUCACAGGUUUGGAGUUUAAAGGGGGAUAUUUAUGGUUUGAUCUGAGAAUAGACAACUACUCACAUUGUCCUGCAGCCACCACAGUGCCAUUUCUACACAGACACAUAGAUGCCCAUGGCAUGUAGGAGGUGCUCUGGGCUGAAGGGUGCUAUAAAUUCAUGCCCCAGUGCACAACCAGAAUAUGGAAACAACAGUCCCUUUAGGGUAGCCUACAAGGAACCACAUCAGUUUUUCAAUGGUUAAUAACAAUAGUGGUUAACUGAGGUGGUACAUUGUACAUAAUCGUGAAUAGUGAAAAGAUAUUUUGUAAGGAAGAGCCCCUGAACUUUGAUGGUGGCAUCAUUUUUUUUCUGCAGUUUUUGUAUUUGAAAGGCAGGGCUGCUGGAAUGCUGAUGCCAGUCACACAAUUUACUGGCUGUGGUUUACAUGCACAUAAUUCUUCCUUCUUUAUUUUGCAGAAACAGUCAAGCUUCAAAGCUGUGGAAUGUGUGGGAAUUAGCUUUUAGUUUCCUAAAUUCACUUGAAUCAUCUUUUAGCUUCCUAAUUAUUCUCUUAGUCAUGACUUAGAAAGAAACCAUACAAAUAUGAAGGGCUUUGUUUGGUUCCAAUGCUGAGUUGGGCUAGUAGUACCAUGAAAAACUAAGAAAUGUUGAGGCUGUCUUUCUACCUUGAAUUCCACAGGAACUGUAGAUGCUUCAUAGUGACACGGGCUUUGAUUUGAAAUUACGUUACAUAAAGCAGAAGGGAAAAACUGAGUCUAUCUCACAGCUACAGCUGCUGUAAUUCUAUGAUGGAAAGAUCUAGAAGUAGAGAAAAAGACUGCCAAAAGCCCAGGUGCUAAAGCCCCCUUUAAUUCAUGUCUUAAUAUCUUCUGCCAAGACUCUCCUGGAAAGCAACAAAAGCUUGCUAUGGUGAUCCCAAAUGAGAUGCACGAUAAAAAAAAACCUGCUUAAAUAUAGCAGUAAGAAAACAGACGGAAAUCUCAAAUGGGUUGUUACUCUUACAGUGUUGCAAGAGCUUUAAUAUUCACUGAAAGUUGCUGUCUCCAGCUGUCAUUCAGGACUUUCAUUUCCAUUCAGGAGAAAAGGAUGAAAAUCGAGCAAUUUCAAAAAUAAGAAUGCUAUUCUGGGUUAUGGAGAUGUGUGAGUGACAAUGCACUCAAAAGGUCAGCCAAGAGGAUGGUCCAGGUCCUGAAAAUGAAUGAGCCACAAACCUCUCUGGAAGUUCAUACUCUUCUAAUUGUUCCAAAUUACAGCUUCAAAGCUGGGGCAUUUAUGCAUCUAAUUUCAAGCCUACUUGCUUGAAAAACUUCUGUUUUCCAGAAGUUCUGCUGACUAAGUUUGGCCAAUAUGCAAGAUGAUAUUUUGCUACAGUCAUGGUUUUGUCUUUGUGUACAGCAUCUGUGUGUUUUGUUCACUCAUUUACUAUAGUUGUUGCAAACUCUCUCUGCUCUGGAACAUCCAAGACUUCCCUGGCAGUAGUUUUUUCAGAAGUUUAACAGAUUUCAAAAUUUCAUGGCAUUUUGCAUUGAAGCUGCUACCAACUACCAGAAAUAAAAAGAAAGUUUAUUGUUUGAGGAUUAAGCUGGGAUGAUGAUAAUAAUUAGAUUUAGAGUUUCUGAAAACUUAUAUGUGAACAAGGAGAUAAACAGGUAAUUAGUGAUAACUUUAUAAAUCAAAGGCUAGAGUGCCAUAUUAUAUGACGUUGAAGAGUUGGCAUCUAAAACUACCUCUACCUGAAAGAUGAUAUGUCAAUAACUGAUAGUUGGCAGCACCCAGGGAGACACUUCAAUACCUGAAAUCCUUUCCAAGACAGUGCUGAAUGCUGGGAUAAAAGAUGAAACCAUCUGGCUACACAUAGCUAAGAAGAGCCUUGGUGCUUGGUUAUGGCUGGAAAUAUGAAGGACAGUGUCCCCACUGAUAUGUGCUGCCCCUGGAAGCCCACUAUAUUUUCUUUUAUUUCUUUACUAUGAGGAGCUGCAAAGAGAGAAAUUACUUUACAAAUUGUGAAUCACUGUAUUGACGGAGGCUACAAAUACUGCUGAUAACCUCUAUAUGCAGCAACAUGUAGUACAGACCAAACUACACAGAUAAGCAGAUGGGAGUGUGAGAAAACCUCAUGUGAUCAGAGACGUACCAGAAGAUUUCUGCAAGUCCUUUCAUUUACUUGCUACCUCUUGCAGAGUGGUGAUGAUGAACACCUGC
ensembl:lncRNA